rnacentral:rRNA from 1 species
GUGGGGAAUAUUGGACAAUGGGGGGAACCCUGAUCCAGCCAUGCCGCGUGUGUGAAGAAGGCCUUUUGGUUGUAAAGCACUUUAAGUGAGGAGGAGGCUACCGAGAUUAAUACUCUUGGAUAGUGGACGUUACUCGCAGAAUAAGCACCGGCUAACUCUGUGCCAGCAGCCGCGGUAAUACAGAGGGUGCAAGCGUUAAUCGGAUUUACUGGGCGUAAAGCGCGCGUAGGUGGCCAAUUAAGUCAAAUGUGAAAUCCCCGAGCUUAACUUGGGAAUUGCAUUCGAUACUGGUUGGCUAGAGUAUGGGAGAGGAUGGUAGAAUUCCAGGUGUAGCGGUGAAAUGCGUAGAGAUCUGGAGGAAUACCGAUGGCGAAGGCAGCCAUCUGGCCUAAUACUGACACUGAGGUGCGAAAGCAUGGGGAGCAAACAGGAUUAGAUACCCCGGUAGUCC